AUGAUACGCGAGGAACCUUACCCGGGACUUGAAAUAGCAUCUGACCGGCCUUGAAAGAGGCACUCCCUUCGGGGCAGAUGUGUAGGUGCUGCAUGGUUGUCGUCAGUUCGUGCCGUGAGGUGUCGGCUUAAGUGCCAUAACGAGCGCAACCCUCAUCAUUAGUUACCAUCAGGUAAGGCUGGGGACUCUAAUGAGACUGCCAUCGUAAGAUGUGAGGAAGGUGGGGAUGACGUCAAAUCAGCACGGCCCUUACGUCCGGGGCGACACACGUGUUACAAUGGGUGGUACAAAGGGCAGCUACCUGGCGACAGGAUGCUAAUCUCGAAAACCGCUCUCAGUUCGGAUCGGAGUCUGCAACUCGACUCCGUGAAGCUGGAUUCGCUAGUAAUCGCGCAUCAGCCACGGCGCGGUGAAUACGUUCCCGGGCCUU
rnacentral:rRNA from 1 species